AGAUUAAGCCAUGCAUGUCUAAGCAUGAACUGAAGUAAAGUGAAGCCGCGAAUAGCUCAUUACAACAGCCGUUGUUUCUUGGAUCUCUACUUGGAUAACUGUGGUAAUUCUAGAGCUAAUACACGCAAUCGAGCUCCGACCGAAAGGGACGAGUGCAUUUAUUAGAACAAAACCAAUCGGUGCUUCGGUUGGUGAAUCUGAAUAACUGAGCAGAUCGCUCGGUCCUAGUACCGGCGACAUAUCCUUCUCUGCCUUAUCAACUUUCGAUGGUAGUUUAUGUGCCUACCAUGGUUGUAACGGGUAACGGAGAAUAAGGGUUCGACUCCGGAGAGGGAGCCUGAGAAACGGCUACCACUUCCAAGGAAG
rnacentral:rRNA from 1 species